UAGGGAAUCUUCGGCAAUGGACGAAAGUCUGACCGAGCAACGCCGCGUGAGUGAAGAAGGCUUUCGGAUCGUAAAACUCUGUUGUUAGAGAAGAACAAGGACGUUAGUAACUGAACGUCCCCUGACGGUAUCUAACCAGAAAGCCACGGCUAACUACGUGCCAGCAGCCGCGGUAAUACGUAGGUGGCAAGCGUUGUCCGGAUUUAUUGGGCGUAAAGCGAGCGCAGGCGGUUUCUUAAGUCUGAUGUGAAAGCCCCCGGCUCAACCGGGGAGGGUCAUUGGAAACUGGAAGACUUGAGUGCAGAAGAGGGGAGUGGAAUUCCGUGUGUAGCGGUGAAAUGCGUAGAUAUAUGGAAGAACACCAGUGGCGAAGGCGGCUCUCUGGUCUGUAACUGACGCUGAGGCGCGAAAGCGUGGGGAGCAAACAGG
rnacentral:rRNA from 1 species